GUGAUGUAAUCACCUCAUCAAGGCAAAUUUGUGUACCCUUCCUGACCCCUGUGACACACUGGAGCAAGGUACAGGUGCACGGCACGCUGUGUACUAUCACCCUGUGUCCACAUCAGCCCUUUGCACCGAUAUAUAGUUGCACUAACUGCCCAACAGCAAGAUUUGAUAGGAAUGAUGACCUAAGCACAGACCCUUGUUUGCUAACUCUGCUUUUUUGGGGCUGCAGGAAUUAGAAAGAAAAGGCAAAGCCGUGUUUGCUCUGUGCUGAGCCCUGAUUCCAUGGGAAUGCAUUGCAACACCCGCUGCAGUGAGCCCUGCUUUCCAGGCAGAGGAUGGUUGGCACCACACAGUGCAGUGGUGAGGUGAGCAGAAACAGCAGCCUUGCUGGAAACUGCUCUCAGAUGAGAUCUGAAACAGCUGUGGUCCCCUGAAGGUAUAGAAGAGGCAACACAGAGUUUAUGCAGUCCUCCAAGCCUUGGCUCAUCGUUGUAUGAAUGGCUUUAAGCUGCACCAGGGGAGGCUCAGGAUGGAUACUGGGAGAAAACUCUACUCCAAAAGAGUGGCGCACAGCUGCCCAGGGAGUGGUGGGGUCGCCAUCCCUGGAGGUGUUCCUGAGCCAUGGGGAUGUGGCACUGAGGGAUGUGGUCAGCGAGCACGAUGGGAUGGGUUGGGGAUCUGAGACAUCUUUGCCAACCUGAGCAAUUCUAUGAAUACAUUCCAUGAAUCCAUUGGGUUGGGAAGGGAAGGAAUGUGGGCAGAUCCUGGCAUCGUGAGGGGGGUGCUGCAGGUCUGUGGGGCGUGGGCAGAGUCCUGCAAUAGCUAUUAUCUAUAUAUAUAUUAUCUAUAAUAGAUCCAGGCUGAGAAAGUGCGUUCCUGGGGAGAGAAGGGCUCAUCUGGCAUGUGGUGGCAGGUGGAUUUCUUCACCCAGUGAGGAAAGGGACUGGAUUUCAAUAAAAGUGAUGACUCAACUUCUAGAUGGAGGCUGAGAAGAAAAACCACCUCCAGCUCGCUUCGGGGUGAAAGCUCGAGAUCUUUCCAGGAAAGGAGCUUCUCCUGGUGCUGCUCCCGAUCCUGGAGGAGGGCUCUGAGCAGCAUUGCUGCUCUCUGCCUGCAGCCCAGGCUGCCUCCUCCGCUUCCUCGCUCUCUGCUCGCAGUAACCUGAGUCCGUCCUUCCCCUUUUCCUUACUUCCCUCGUGCUCGGGCUUGCUGCUGAGCAGCCCCGGAGCCAGGAGGGAGGCAGCAGGACGGGAGCAGGGAGAGGUGGAGGGAAGGGGAAGGCACGACGAGAAAAGCGAGGAAAAAGGAAAUCUCUGCCACCCCUCAGUAAAUUGAUCCCGGUUUUGCAGCGGCUGCAGCUGAGAACUACAGGCUGGAAGCAGGGGAGGAUGAAAGGAAAGGGAGAGGUGGCAGAGGGCUCAUGCAUUCCACGUGGGGCAGCACAGGGCGGUGGGCAUGGGGUCAGGUAGGGGUGGUUGUGCACGGAGGAGCACACCUGCCUCCCCUCCAGCUGCUCUCAUGGGCCGCCUGAUAAUGCAGCCAGGUCGGUAUGAUCGCCCAACUUCCCACCAGCCAACACGGUUCGCCUGCCAGGAUUAAUCAUUACAUCAAAUGCAAAGCUUUGGAAAAAAAAAAAAACCAACCUGAAACAGCCCUGGCUGUAUAAAGACCUGAAUGACUACUGGCAAACCGAGCAGAGUGCUCUUUGCUGCCCUGCCCUGCACAGGAGGAGGGCAGUGGUUGGCACAGGGUGCAUACACGCUGGUGUUAGGGUUCUCUCCCCUUGCUGUAGCUUGCUUCUGGGAUCUUCCGUGUCGCUUUGCUGCUGCUGAGGCCGUGCUGUGGUGGGGGCUGGCUGUGCUGGAAGGCAGGGAAUAGCAGGGUGUGCUUGGAGGUUGUGUUUGGAGCAGAGCCCCUCUCUCUGACCCCACCUCCUUUCCCCCUUUCUGAGAUGCUGGCCUCUUUCAACUGACAGCCCGCUUUCCUGGCAGGCUUGUUAGCUUUAGCUGGAACAAUUUCCUUUGAACUCAGCUUGAAUUAACAUCUCCAUGGCAAUAGGAUCGGGGCUUUGUCUCUCACAACCUGCCCUUCACCCUCAACAAGAGGUCCAUCCAGGAGGUGGGAAGGGAGCACCACCACCUCCUCCUGGGGAAAGGCAGAGGCUGGGAGCACAGCCCGGGGUUCCCCGGGGAGGGGAAGCUGCAGCAGAUGCUGGCAGGUUGGAGCUGGGUUUGGGUUAGCUUGCUGCAUGGAAGCCAGCGAGUGAGUGUGUGUUGGGGGUAAGAGGAAAGCAACUUGCUUCCCUUCACCAUAAACAACCACAAACACAGUUCCCUAGGGUGGGAUGUCUCUGGGCUGAGCCAGUGCAGUAGGAGGAAAAUGAUGCUGUACCUAAACUGAGCACUUCCACUCUGCCCAUCCACCUCUGUCCCACAACACUCAGCUCCCCACCGCUGCAAGCAUCUCCAUCUCUACCCCAUGUGCUCCUUCACCCCCAGGGCUCCGGGGUCCUGCUGGAGGAGCAGGGGCUCUAUCACCAGUCCAUGCCAUGCAUUCAUCCAACCCAUCCCUCCCACCAUGCCUCCUUUCCCCUGCAGUCUGAAGAAGCCACAUGUAAGUCAAUAGCAGCACUGGCAGGAAGCUGAGCUGAAAACCCCACUGCCCUGCAAGCCCAACCCCAGUGCACCUCUGGCUGUUUGCCCAUCACCUUACUCCUCACUGCUCCCUUCUUCCAGCUGCUCCAAACCUCAACCUUUGCAUGUCUGCCAACCUCACAUCAUCCCCAUCACCUGGGCACCGGAUUGCCCACUUCAUUCCCCCCCACCACGGCCCACGUGGGUCUGUCUGUUUGGCAUUAGUGGGCUCUUGCUAACAAUAUGGGGUUGUUUUUUUUUCCCUCUUGUGGAGUGAGAGGUUGGUUUUGCAGCCAAGUCUGUAGGUGGGAAAAAAAAGAGGCCUUUUCCUUUGAAUGCCGGGUAAUUUCUUUGAGAGCUGCCUCUGAGAAAUCAAAUCUCAGUUUCUUUUCUUUUUUUGGGGUGGGGGGGGAGCUGGAAGCACAGCAGCAGCACUUCCCUUCCUCCUGCUCCCAAACACCGUGGGGGUGGCAAUGCUCCCAACACCGGGAUGGGCUGCAGGGAUGGAACCCUACAGCAUCCACAGAGGUCCUGCUGGGUGUAAGCUGCAGUCAGGGUCACCUCAGCUGUGGUCCCCAAGGGGCAGGACAAGCUCCUCUGCUCUGUGCCAUGCUCAGGUCUGUGGAGCACCGUGAUGCUCUGGGGUCACGGAAUCAUUAAUGUUGGAAAAGACCUCUAAGAUCAUUGGGCUGUCUCAGGGCCUCGUUUGUUCGGGUUCCUCCUGCCUCCUUCUCCCCCCUGCAGCAGCGCUGCUCCCUCCUCCCGCAGUCCCUGCAGCUGGAUCGCAGCAGGCAGCUCUCAUUCCGUGUUAAUGAGAAACUCCUGCACUUUGUCCCUUGAAAUGGAGCCACGUUCGCCACGUGACUGCAGGGAAGGGUUUCGGUGAAGGCAGUAGAGAGAAAGAGGGAAGGCAGGGGGCUGAGCACCCGCGGGUGCUGGGCUGGGAGGUGGGAGGCAGCUGAGGGAUGUGAGAUCUCACCCUGCUGACCCCACACUGACUCAGCUCUGUCUGCAUCUCAUUCCUUCAUACCGGGAAGGGGAACUCACCCCCACGCAUGCUGCCUCCCCUCAGCCGGGCUCAGCACACACAAGGCUCUGUUCUCUGUGCUCAGUCACUGUGAAUCACGAACCGGGGGUGGUUUCCUGGAGCUGGGCAGCAGGGUCAGCCCUCACCCGGUGCACCUGGGGCUGCCCUCUCCCCAUGGGAGCCCAAGGAAACCCCCACACUGCUUUGCUGGGGCAGCUGGCAGGAGCAUCACUGUGCAGGAAGAUGACGUAUCCUUGCCACAAGCCCAGCUGUGCUGCCAGCGGGGCCACAAACCUGCCCAGCACCACUGGGGGCAGCUUCUCAUCAGUGCAGCCCCUGCACUGUGGGGAUGCUGUGCCCUGGGAGCCGUGAGCAGGCAGAGCACCGUGCCAAGCACUGCCUCCCUCUGCUUAUCUUCUCCUUCUGGCAGACAGGGCUGCCCUGACCCCACUACGGCCCCAGCCCAGACAGGGAUUCUCUUUCUCUUGCAACCCUGAUCCAAGAGCUGGGCAGGGAAUAUAUGAUUCCUUUUGCAGAGCUGGGAGAAGCUCCAUCAGUUCAGGGCUGUAGAUUAACUGCUGGGGCCAAAUCUCUUUAGGCUUCAGGGUCCUGGAAGUUGGCAGAACACCUUGCUUGUUGUGCACUGGGGGGAAGACAAAGCUUCCCAGCUCGUGCACUGUUGCUGUCCCCCUCCUAUGGGGUGGGUGGGGAGGCAGAGCCACAGAAAGCUCUCAACCAGCUGUGAUUUUUCACCAGAAUCCGAGAACCCGGCAGGAAUCAGCAGCUGCACUUAAUCAUGCCGGGUCAUUAAAGUGACACAGCAGCUCUGUAGGGAAGGGGAGAAGCCUGUCUGAAAUUGCCAGACAUGAAACCAGAAAAGGUCCUGAGAAAGGCUGAGGAGGAAAAUAUUCCUGGGAGCCUUGGUGGUGUGCCCAGCUGGUGAGAUCUGUGGCUCAUGGCCAUGGGGCUGGGAGUGGGACAGGACAGAGGGUUACCUGCCAGAGUUGGGUUUCUCUGCUGGCCUCGUGCUUUAUCAGUCCCCCAGGAGCGCUGAACCGAGGCCAGGCAGGGAGGAAAGCUUUUCCUUCGCUCCAUCCCCCAAAUGCCACAUCAGCAGCGGGCUGCAGGAUGACCUCAAUGAGGAACAGAUUGUCCCUUGGCCUGCCUCCACCUCCCUGCAGCGGGGAUGUCGGGACCCUGAGAUGGGGAAAUGGGAUGAGCCGUGCGCUGCAAUAACAGCAGCCACAGGCAAAGCAGCCAGGCUGGGACAGGAGCUGGCACGUGGGGGUUUCCUUCUGUCAUCUCCAGCCUUGUUGGCAGUGCCCAGUGAAGAUUUACAACAGCCAAAAUUGUGAUCAAUUGGCAGAGCUGGAAGCAUCCCAGCUCUGUCCUGUUGUGUUUGAGCCCCCGGCACUGCCUGGCUGCUCCCAAAGGGGGGGAUGGAGAAGGCACUGGGAAAGUGAUGGCACAGAGGGGGUGCUGGGUGGCUCCUGAGCAGUUCCCCUGACUGGCUUCAGAGAGCCGCAGGAUGGGUAGAAGGUUGAACAUUCAGGUUGGAUAGUAGGCAAGAUUUCUUCUCCUAAAGAGUGGUGAUGCAUUGGCACAGCUGCCCAGGGGAGGUGGUGGGGUCACCAUCCCUGGAGGUGUUCAGGAAACAUGGAGAUGUGGCACUGAGGGAUGCGGUCAGUGGGCAUGGUGGGAUGGGUUGGGUUGGGAUUGGGGAUCUGAGAGGUCUCCAACCUCAAUGAUUCCAUGAUUCUACGACACGCUUGGCCUUGCUAUGUUGUUGCAAAGGCAAUUUUCAGCAAGCUUUAAAACUACAUGAGAUGAGAUGACACAGAAUGCAUCUGUCCAUAGAGACGUGGAUUGCUUUCGAUUAACUUGUUGCUUGGGUGUCUUUUUUUAAUGCUGUUUGAUGCAGUGGGACUGCCAGUCCAACAAACUGCCUCGUUUUGCAGAAUGUUCCAGGAAAGCAUGGGAAACCUUUCCAGCUCGAUCUGCAAGAGAAAUAUUUGCAUUUCCCUCCAGGCUGAUUUGUAACCUAGAUUGCUG
rnacentral:lncRNA from 1 species